UGGGGAAUAUUGCACAAUGGGCGCAAGCCUGAUGCAGCCAUGCCGCGUGUAUGAAGAAGGCCUUCGGGUUGUAAAGUACUUUCAGUCGGGAGGAAGGUGGUAAGGUUAAUAACCUUAUCAAUUGACGUUACCGACAGAAGAAGCACCGGCUAACUCCGUGCCAGCAGCCGCGGUAAUACGGAGGGUGCAAGCGUUAAUCGGAAUUACUGGGCGUAAAGCGCACGCAGGCGGUUGAUUAAGUCAGAUGUGAAAUCCCCGGGCUUAACCCGGGAAUUGCAUCUGAUACUGGUCAGCUAGAGUCUUGUAGAGGGGGGUAGAAUUCCAUGUGUAGCGGUGAAAUGCGUAGAGAUGUGGAGGAAUACCGGUGGCGAAGGCGGCCCCCUGGACAAAGACCGACGCUCAGGUGCGAAAGCGUGGGGAGCAAACAGG
rnacentral:rRNA from 1 species